CCCUGGGCCCCAUGAGCUCCCUGAUUCCCGAGGAGAAGCUGGAAGAGCAAAUCCCAAAAAUCCUGCCCGGAAUUCUCGGCCUCUACAAGAAACACCCGGAGCCUUUUCCCAUCUCCAAGAGCCUGUGCCAGCUGCUGGAAUCCUCGGUGGCCGCGGGGAGCAGGAACCUGGAGGCGCAGCUGGAAUCGCUGCUGGCGGCGCUGCUGACCCAGAUUUGUGCUCCAGCUGAUCCCAACAUCCCCACGAGUGCCAAGAACCACACGGAGCUGCUGCGCUGCUUCUCCGUCCUGGGUGAGCAAUUCCCCAAAUUCCCCAAAUUCCCAAAUAGCCAUUAGUUAAGUAACACUCCACUAUUUUGUCAAAAUCUAAA
rnacentral:lncRNA from 12 species